rnacentral:rRNA from 1 species
CGGACGGGUGAGUAAUGUCUGGGAAACUGCCUGGUGGAGGGGGAUAACUACUGGAAACGGUAGCUAAUACCGCAUAACGUCGCAAGACCAAAGAGGGGGACCUUAGGGCCUCUUGCCAUCGGAUGUGCCCAGAUGGGAUUAGCUAGUAGGUGGGGUAAUGGCUCACCUAGGCGACGAUCCCUAGCUGGUCUGAGAGGAUGACCAGCCACACUGGAACUGAGACACGGUCCAG